ensembl:piRNA 21ur-2812 ncRNA
UAAUUGUUUUUCAGCGUGUCC